rnacentral:rRNA from 1 species
UACGUAGGGUGCAAGCGUUGUCCGGAAUUAUUGGUCGUAAAGAGCUCGUAGGCGGUUUGUCGCGUCGGCUGUGAAAACUCGGGGCUCAACUCCGAGCUUGCAGUCGAUACGGGCAGACUAGAGUUCGGCAGGGGAGACUGGAAUUCCUGGUGUAGCGGUGAAAUGCGCAGAUAUCAGGAGGAACACCGGUGGCGAAGGCGGGUCUCUGGGCCGAUACUGACGCUGAGGAGCGAAAGCGUGGGGAGCGAACAGG